UACGAAGGGGGCUAGCGUUGCUCGGAAUCACUGGGCGUAAAGGGCGCGUAGGCGGUCUGUUAAGUGGGAAGUGAAAUCUCCAGGGCUCAACCCGGAAACUGCUUUCUAUACUGGCAGGCUGGAGGGAUGCAGAGGUGUGUGGAAUUCCUGGUGAAGCGGUGAAAUGCGUAGAUAUCAGGAGGAACACCCAUGGCGAAGGCAGCACACUGGGCAUCAUCUGACGCUGAGGCGCGAAAGCGUGGGUAGCAAACAGG
rnacentral:rRNA from 1 species